rnacentral:rRNA from 1 species
GAUGAACGCUGGCGGCGUGCCUAAUACAUGCAAGUCGAGCGAACAGACGAGGAGCUUGCUCCUCUGACGUUAGCGGCGGACGGGUGAGUAACACGUGGAUAACCUACCUAUAAGACUGGGAUAACUUCGGGAAACCGGAGCUAAUACCGGAUAAUAUAUUGAACCGCAUGGUUCAAUAGUGAAAGACGGUUUUGCUGUCACUUAUAGAUGGAUCCGCGCCGCAUUUGCUAGUUGGUAAGGUAACGGCUUACCAAGGCAACGACGCGUAGCCGACCUGAGAGGGUGAUCGGCCACACUGGAACUGAGAAACGGUCCAGACUCCUACGGGAGGCAGCAGUAGGGAAUCUUCCGCAAGGGGCGAAAGCCUGACGGAGCAACGCCGCGUGAGUGAUGAAGGUCUUCGGAUCGUAAAACUCUGUUAUUAGGGAAGAACAAAUGUGUAAGUAACUAUGCACGUCUUGACGGUACCUAAUCAGAAAGCCACGGCUAACUACGUG